UAUCCGAAAAUACAGAUAAUCUGGAUGUAGAAGAUGAUAACGAAGACUGAAAAAGACAACAGAAUAAAUCCUGUUUACGUAAGAGGAUCACUAUACCAACUGAAUAAACAAUGGAAAGAUAUGCUAACAUAUAUUGUUAUCUCAAGAGCCUGUGCCAAAACACAUGUUUCUAUGAUCAUAAUAGUGGCUACAUCGGAAUAAGAGUGCUGUCAAAACAUGCCAUAGGAAAUGUACUUGAUUCCCAACAUAUAAA